rnacentral:rRNA from 1 species
UACGUAGGGUGCAAGCGUUGUCCGGAAUUAUUGGGCGUAAAGAGCUCGUAGGCGGUUUGUCGCGUCUGCUGUGAAAACUCGGGGCUUAACUCCGGGCCUGCAGUGGGUACGGGCAGACUAGAGUGCGGUAGGGGAGACUGGAAUUCCUGGUGUAGCGGUGAAAUGCGCAGAUAUCAGGAGGAACACCAAUAGCGAAGGCAGCUCGCUGGGACGGUAUUGACGCUAAGGCGCGAAAGCGUGGGGAGCAAACAGG